rnacentral:rRNA from 2 species
UUCGCAAUGCCCGAAAGGGUGACGAAGCGACGCCGCGUGGGUGAGGAAGGCCUUCGGGUUGUAAAACCCUGUCAGGAGUUAAGAAAUGUAAGUGCGCUAAUAUCGCAUUUAUUUGACGAAGGCUCCAAAGGAAGCCACGGCUAACUCUGUGCCAGCAGCCGCGGUAAUACAGAGGUGGCAAGCGUUGUUCGGAAUUAUUGGGCGUAAAGAGCACGUAGGUGGGUUUGUAAGUCAGAUGUGAAAGCCUUCUGUUCAACGGAAGAAUUGCAUCUGAAACUGUGAAUCUUGAGUAUAGGAGGGGAGAAUGGAACUUCUGGUGGAGCGGUGAAAUGCGUAGAUAUCAGAAGGAACGCCGGCGGCGAAAGCGAUUCUCUGGCCUAUUACUGACACUGAGUGUGCGAAAGCUAGGGGAGCAAACGGGAUUAGAUACCCCGGUAGUCCUAGCCGUAAACGAUGGGCACUAAGUAGAGGGGUUUU